rnacentral:rRNA from 1 species
GACGAAGGGGGCUAGCGUUGUUCGGAAUUACUGGGCGUAAAGCGCGUGUAGGCGGUUGCCCAAGUCGGGUGUGAAAGCCUUGAGCUCAACUCAAGAAAUGCACUCGGUACUGGGUGACUAGAGGACCGGAGAGGAUAGUGGAAUUCCCAGUGUAGUGGUGAAAUACGUAGAGAUUGGGAAGAACACCAGUGGCGAAGGCGGCUAUCUGGACGGUUUCUGACGCUGAGACGCGAAAGCGUGGGGAGCGAACAGG